UACGUAGGGGGCUAGCGUUGUCCGGAUUUAUUGGGCGUAAAGAGCGUGUAGGCGGCCAGGUAGGUCUGCUGUGAAAACUCGAGGCUUAACCUCGAGAUGUCGGCGGAAACCAUCUGGCUAGAGUCCGGAAGAGGAGAGUGGAAUUCCUGGUGUAGCGGUGAAAUGCGCAGAUAUCAGGAAGAACACCCGUGGCGAAGGCGGCUCUCUGGGACGGUACUGACGCUGAGACGCGAAGGCGUGGGGAGCGAACAGG
rnacentral:rRNA from 1 species